ensembl:lncRNA
UUUGAACUUCAACGACCGUUUAUGGAACCUUUCUGAAGACGUUCAUUCUUCACUGGAUUUAACGAACAGGAAAUUGAUGGAGACUACUGGGCCUCACUGAACGGAUGGUUGAAGAACUAUCCCCGUCUAUGAAAUUGCAGGUGAUGUUUGUGAAGGAACUGAACUAGCUCCUAGAACAACAUGAAGUUGGAUUGCCCCUGGACAAUGCUGACAGCAUAGGCAAAAGACUGUCCUGUCUAGACUGUCCUGUGCCAGUGUUGAGAAUGAUGCUUCGACAAAGACCAUGCUCGUCUUCUUUGACCCAACCAUGGCCAACAGUAUUCAGUCUGCCCACCUUCCCCCCAGAAAAAGUACCCAAACCAUAAAAAAUAUACAGAUGUUCUGGGAUCUCAUCACCAGAUUUCCAUUUCUUGGAGAACACAGCUCCUCUGGAGACCCUACUUGAGUGUCUGAGGAACAAAAUAAAAAAAGAAAGGUCACCUUUAGGCAACUUGACGUCCAGGAAAUUAAGAGAAAGUUUGGUGCUGGAGGAAACAGAAUUGUGGACCAUAUGCCUCUGGAGGAACCACCUGGACAUCAGAGAGAAAAUAAGUGCAGAUUGGAAAACGCAGUCCAGAUGCUUUCUGGGAAUUAUCCAACACAAGAGGAACCACCCAACUCAUUUCCGGUCAUCAGCCUCCACGAUGCAGACUCCCCUCCUUGCCAGGAGAGCAUCCAUUAUGAUGGAUGGCAUCACCAUUAUAAGCGGCGAGAUGGAUGUGGCACAUGCCAUUCAAUGUCUGCUGGAGAUGUACUUCGUCAUUGGUGUGGAGUACCCCCGGCAGAUCAAGCAUACCCUUAGCUUUUCAGAGCAUUAUCUUUUCAAAAUACAAAAUUAAAAAAAAGUGUCCAUCCCUGUUCUGAAAUUAUAUAACCAGAUUAGUUCAUCACUGUUACUGUUGAGUUUUUAAAUAAAAAAAAUACAGUCCAUUUUUGAAUCCACCUCUCCUCUCUUUCUUUUAU